GGGAGGGGCUGCGCAGAAGCUUUCUGUGGACCAGUGAGGAGGGAGGAAGGAGAGGACUCUGCUUUCACUGAUAUCCUCUGGGCUGGGACCCUGAUUGAACAGAAGCAGAAAAAACACAGUAAUUUCAACUAGUGAUAAAUCCUCAGAGGAGCAAAGUGAACCAGAGUGCUGGUCCUGGGAUAGAAUAUAAUCGGGCAGUGUGCUGAAACCAUUACGUGCAUUACCUUGCCAAGAAAACGGAGACCCAGAAAAGGUCUUUUGGCCCGUGUAGAUGCACACAGAGCCUCCCUUUUUAAAACUCCAACAGCCAGCUGUGUUCUUGACACCUGUUUCCCACGACAGCCUGAUGAUGUAGAUGUAUCACGUUCUUACUCUGCGCUUGAGGAGACAGGUACCCAAAGAGGUUGGAAGUUUGCUUAAGGAAACAGUAAGUGGCCGAGAUCUGUCUUCUCCAAAUCUCGUUCUUUAAAUUUAAGCUAUUCCUUAAUUGAUUUUCUAAGGUCCUUAUUUGGAUCA
rnacentral:lncRNA from 1 species